rnacentral:sRNA from 1 species
UUGCGUUAGUGGUUGAAAUGGCAUCCUUUUUUGAGUUUAUGAAAAAAAGAUACAAUGUAAAACACGACUUGGC